UACGUAGGUGGCAAGCGUUGUCCGGAAUUACUGGGCGUAAAGCGUGCGUAGGUGGUUUGUUAAGUCUGAUGUGAAAGCCCUGGGCUCAACCUGGGAACUGCAUUGGAUACUGGCUUACUAGAGUGCGGUAGAGGGGUGUGGAAUUCCCGGUGUAGCAGUGAAAUGCGUAGAUAUCGGGAGGAACAUCUGUGGCGAAGGCGACACCCUGGACCAGCACUGACACUGAGGCACGAAAGCGUGGGGAGCAAACAGG
rnacentral:rRNA from 1 species